rnacentral:sRNA from 1 species
UUAAGUUUAACAACUUCUAGUAUGCGAUGUAAAGAGUCCCAAAUGUAGCCAAAAAAUGAAUAUUAUAUGUUCUUGUUUAUAUUUAAGUAUAUUACAACUCUGCGGUUUCAGGCAUGACGUAAAGUUAUUUCUCUCCUUCACCGGACUUUGAAGGCAAUUAUACCUCAAUAAAUUGUUGUCAGAUAUCAAAUGGGUUCCGUUCCAUUCCCAGACAUGGCUACGCAGAUACACAAUACUUCCAGUUAUAAGUUUUACAGAUUGACUCAAAAACUGACCACUAGACGAGACGCAUUCAUCAUCCCAAUGCAAUAGCUCAGCUGGCCAGACGACGAUGAGAAGCAGUGGGGCAGAUGAGGGCGUUGCCACGCCACGUAACGCGAGGCGGCGGACCCAAGCUGUGCGUUACUUAACGGUCGGGAGCAGGACUCCCUGGACGUAAAAAAUGGGUAGCAAGUGCGACCAUUAUUCUUGCCCUCCGUGCUGGAGGGCUUGGGUCACUGGUUAGUUUGCAUAGCAAAUGCCUCAUGGAAAAACGAACUGCCGCAGCGGACGAGGAUUCUAACGAGCUCGCCGGAUGCGGAUGCGCACGGAAAAAUGCGGAGUGCCCAGAAAUGUCAAGCUAAGUGGCGGCAAGAAGGGAGUUUCUAUGGGGAGAUGAUCGAAAGUUCGAGUACUGAAAUUUUAUUCGCCAUUGAAUAUUCGGAUGGAAGGCGCCACCUCGGGCGCUAAUGAUGAGCAAAUAGUCUCGUUAAAGAUGCCAGUGCAAAUGCAAGUGCGAAGUGCCAUAAAUGUCGAUGGCAGCAAAGAUAUGGAAACUCUAUCGAACGCACGAUGAGAGGUUGAGUUUCGUUUAAUGACUUGAAGUAACGCAUCGAAUCGAUUUCACUCGCGAAUUUAUCACAAGUGACUCCGGCACAAGCCAUUAAAAGUUGGAGCAAGUUGAGGGCCGCUCUAAUGCAUACAGUGAACCGACCGCACGACCCCAGUGUGGAGUGGCCCACUACUGCCGUCUCGGCCACAUGGUUUAUGGCUUGUAAGCGGCUUAGCCUAAUGGCUUCGACCGGGAACAUUGUUUAGGUCGAAGGUCCUGCGGCGGCGUCCCAACAUUUUAUGCAUCAUUAAGUGCAGCCCAGCGGCAAGCGGCUGAAGCCGGCAAGCUUUAACUUGGCUCAGUCGAAUCAAUAUCAGUCUCAGUCCCGCGAGCCGAACCGAGCCGAGUCGAGCCAAGACAAACAAAUGCAGCGAAUUUGAUUUGCAAUCCAAUCUAGGUAACGACGCUGCCAACAUCGCAGCACCCUUGCGGAUGCCUUUUUCGUAGCGAGCAUGGAAGCUCCUUAAUGGAACCCUUAAAAAUAUGCAGGCUGUCACUUUUGGCCCCGAAACAGAAAUCCUAUUAAAAGCGAAGGAAGGAAGCCGGUUGGCAGGGAAGGCAAAAAGUUGGGACUCCAAAGGAUGAGGGCUGUUCUUCUCCUGCAUCUGCACCUUUUAGGUUGCACAUGGGCAGAAAGUGCACCAGAAUUUGAUGCGACCACUUAAGGUUCAAUCCAUUGCGACACACAGUGGCAGCAGAAAUAGAUUGAACUGGAUCUUAUCUGGGAAUUUGCAUGUAUUUCAGCAGCGCGUUGCAGCUAAUGCAGAUGGGGAUACGUUUAUACGUUAUGGGAAAGAAUAAAUCUUGAAUGACACAAAUA